rnacentral:rRNA from 1 species
UACGUAGGGUGCGAGCGUUGUCCGGAAUUAUUGGGCGUAAAGAGCUCGUAGGCGGUCUGUCGCGUCGGUCGUGAAAACUUGGGGCUUAACCCUGAGCUUGCGGUCGAUACGGGCAUGACUGGAGUUCGGCAGGGGGAGACUGGAAUUCCUGGUGUAGCGGUGAAAUGCGCAGAUAAUCAGGAGGAACACCGGUGGCGAAGGCGGGGUCUCUGGGCCGAUACUGACGCUGAGGAGCGAAAGCGUGGGGAGCGAACAGGA